AAAACUUGUUUUCUACAGCUAUCUUAGGAUGUUAGACAAAAGGCAUAUACAAAACAAUCAGAUAAAAAGAAAAAAAAAACAACAAAAAGACAAUAGGUCAAAAAACUAAAAGAAAGCCGAAAGAGAAAACAAAAUAAAUCAUAGCUUGAAGAAAAAAGAGCAUACCCAGAGUUACCAAGUUUUACGGUAGCGAUUUAUGGCUGUUUUAAAAACAAAAAUACUUACAAAUUGUGCUGCAACAGGCAUUUUGGCAGAGAUCACUUCCUUCGUUACCGUGUAUGCAUUACAGGCAGCAUUGCGCAACAGCUUCGUAACAUCACAAGCCAACUUGCAGAAAGGGGUAGUAUAAGGUGGUAAUGUCUUCUCCGCCCAUUUGUAACCACGUGCCGCAUUACUCAUGGUUGUGUACCAGGCCUUUUCGACAUGCGGCAAUAGACCAGCAUUCUGUAAGACUUUGCCCGUAGCAGAUUUGGCAAAGACACCCUUACCGUUAAUUUCGGUGUCAUAGUACAAAGCUCCAGCGAUCAACGCAAUGAGCAGCAGUGAUCCCAAAGUCCACUUGCAACAUCCACAGCCCUUCUUUUUUUCAGCAGCUUGUUGUUUCUUUUUUUGUUGCGCGCUUUUCUCUUGAACGUUCUACAAAAUAAUACAAAAAGGAAACCGCAAACAGGUUAAAAAUAUCUGCAAUCAUUUAGAGGCAUAACAGCUGUUCUAGAUACUGUGGAGAAUACAAAUUUGUAAAUAUAUUUUACCUUCUUAGCAGCA